GUCUCAGUUUUUUUUGCCUCCAACAUCCUCAGAUCUAUUAAUCCGAUUCAGUUCCAAAAUCACAUAUUAAUCCAGUCACUAGAGUUAUUAUGACAAAAGUUCAUUCAAAUUGCAAACCAGCAUUAAAAAAAAUACCAAGGUCUUUUAGAAAAGGCCGGGAUUCUUACUAUAUAACGCAUAUAACACACUGUUCUUUUCUGAAGCAUGGUGGUGUCGUCAGACUGUUGUCACAAGGGUUUUGCACUUUUUGUAGGCACAUGAUGUCUCUUGGAAAGCUUUAUUCUGGCAGAGAUCGAUAUACUGUUCAGUUCAGACACAUGCAUUUGGUUCCUUUAAUCAGGUACUGCAGUGAGAACAUCAAGAUGAUCGUGGUGUACGUGUAUAUGGAAAAGGGAACGCUUAAGAACCAUAUGUAUGACUUGGAUAGCCCAAGGUGAGCUGCAGACAUAAGCUGGGGAUAUGCGUUGGUGCAGCUUGAGGGGUUCACUAUCUCCAUACAGGUUCCACAAGAGCCAUCAUACACCGCGAUGUGAAGUCUGCUAACAUUCUCUUGGAUGAGAAUUUCAUGGCUUGGAGAACUUGGAUUGUCUAAGAUGGGUCCGUAGCUUGGCCAGACAUGUGAGUACGAUGGUGAAAUGAAGGUACUAUAUGCGGGGGAUACCAGUCACUGAUCCAUAAAUUUCAAAAGAGAAAGUGAAUUAAUCAAAUGUGCCACAAAGUUGGUGAAGAAAGCGAAGAUAGAAGAGAUGAUAGACCAUUUUCUUGAUGGGAAAGUAAAGCUUGAAGAGAUUAAGAAGUACUGUGAGUUAACAGAGAAAUGUUUGGUCCAAAACAGGAUUGAGAGGCCAACAAUGGAAAGUUAUUGUGGAACCUAGAGUUUAUGCUUCAGGUCCAAGUGAAAGAAGAUAAAACAGAAAUAGUGAAUGCUUAUCCAAAGUCUAGCAUUGUGGGCUCAACGGUGAUUUUGUUGUGGAUGGAAUAGGAUAUAUUAAACUAUUAAAUCAUAAACUGUAAAAUAUUACAUUU